CCCACUGUUACCAUGGAGAUAGAGUCCGCCCUCACCUCCAGCAAGACGGCUUUACUACAGACCGUCCCAUCAGGUUGCAUUGUAUACAGUGGAGAGUGCAAUGUCACCCCAGUUAAUGAGACAAAAGUUUGUGCUGGUGUCAACAGCACUGCUCUACAGGGUCGCCUUGACAACGGGCAGAUCACGGGAGUCCGU